rnacentral:rRNA from 1 species
CCUACGGGUGGCAGCAGUAAGGAAUAUUGGACAAUGGGCGCAAGCCUGAUCCAGCCAUGCCGCGUGCAGGAUUAAGGCCCUAUGGGUUGUAAACUGCUUUUAGUAGGGAAAAAACCCUCGUUCGUGAACGAGGCUGAUGGUACCUACAGAAUAAGGAUCGGCUAACUCCGUGCCAGCAGCCGCGGUAAUACGGAGGAUCCAAGCGUUAUCCGGAUUUAUUGGGUUUAAAGGGUGCGUAGGUGGAUUAAUAAGUCAGUGGUGAAAGCCUGCAGCUUAACUGUAGAACUGCCAUUGAUACUGUUAGUCUUGAAUGUAGUUGAGGUGGGCGGAAUAUGACAUGUAGCGGUGAAAUGCUUAGAUAUGUCAUAGAACACCGAUUGCGAAGGCAGCUCACUAAGCUAUAAUUGACACUGAGGCACGAAAGCGUGGGGAGCAAACAGGAUUAGAUACCCCAGUAGUC